rnacentral:rRNA from 1 species
CUACGGGUGGCUGCAGUGGGGAAUAUUGGACAAUGGGCGCAAGCCUGAUCCAGCAAUACCGCGUGUGUGAAGAAGGCCCGAGGGUUGUAAAGCACUUUCAGUAGGGAGGAUUGAUUUUACGGAUAAUACCCGUGAAGUUUGACGUUACCUACAGAAGAAGCACCGGAUAACUCAGUGCCAGCAGCCGCGGUAAUACUGAGGGUGCAAGCGUUAAUCGGAAUUACUGGGCGUAAAGCGCGCGUAGGUGGUUAGAUCAGUUGGGUGUGAAAGCCCCGGGCUCAACCUGGGAACUGCAUUCAAUACUGUCUAGCUAGAGUACGGUAGAGGGAAGUGGAAUUCCGCAUGUAGCGGUGAAAUGCGUAGAGAUGCGGAGGAACACCAGUGGCGAAGGCGACUUCCUGGACCGAUACUGACACUGAGGUGCGAAAGCGUGGGGAGCAAACAGGAUUAAAUACCCUUGUAGUC